rnacentral:rRNA from 1 species
AAAUGAAUAGACGGGGGCCCGCACAAGCGGUGGAGUAUGUGGUUUAAUUCGACGCAACGCGAAGAACCUUACCAGGCCUUGACAUCCCCUGAAAGCUGCAGAGAUGCGGUGAUUUGUCUUCGGACGAACAGGGAGACAGGUGGUGCAUGGUUGUCGUCAGCUCGUGUCGUGAGAUGUUGGGUUAAGUCCCGCAACGAGCGCAACCCUUAUUCUUAGUUGCCAGCACGAAAGGUGGGCACUCUAAGGAGACUGCCGGUGACAAACCGGAGGAAGGUGGGGAUGACGUCAAAUCAUCAUGCCCUUUAUGGCCUGGGCUACACACGUACUACAAUGGCCUGUACAAAGGGUAGCGAAGCAGUGAUGCGGAGCCAAUCCCAAAAAGCAGGUCUCAGUUCGGAUUGCAGGCUGCAACUCGCCUGCAUGAAGUCGGAAUCGCUAGUAAUCGCGGAUCAGCAUGCCGCGGUGAAUACGUUCCCGGGCCUUGUACACACCGCCCGU